UGCAACUCGACUACAUGAAGCUGGAAUCGCUAGUAAUCGUAGAUCAGCAUGCUACGGUGAAUACGUUCCCGGGUCUUGUACACACCGCCCGUCACACCACGAGAGUUUGUAACACCCGAAGCCGGUGAAGUAACCAUUUGGAGCUAGCCGUCGAAGGUGGGACAAAUGAUUGGGGUGAAGUCGUAACAAGGUAGCCGUAUCGGAAGGUGCGGCUGGAUCACCUCCUUUCUAAGGA
rnacentral:rRNA from 1 species